AACGUAGGAGACAAACGUUAUCCGGAGUUACUGGGCGUAAAGGGCGUGUAGGUGGCGCUGUAAGUCGGGUGUGAAAUUUCGGAGCUUAACUCCGAAACUGCAUUCGAUACUGCGGUGCUUGAGGACUGCAGAGGAGACUGGAAUUCCCGGUGUAGCGGUGAAAUGUGUAGAGAUCGGGAGGAACACCGGUGGCGAAGGCGGGACUCUGGGCAAUUCCUGACGCUGAGGCGCGAAAGCGUGGGGAGCAAACGGG
rnacentral:rRNA from 1 species